UACGUAGGGGACAAGCGUUGUCCGGAUUUAUUGGGCGUAAAGAGCGUGUAGGCGGCCAUGUAGGUCCGGUGUGAAAACUCGAGGCUUAACCUCGAGAUGUCAUCGGAAACCAUUUGGCUAGAGUCCGGAAGAGGAGAGUGGAAUUCCUGGUGUAGCGGUGAAAUGCGCAGAUAUCAGGAAGAACACCAAUGGCGAAAGCAGCUCUCUGGGACGGUACUGACGCUGAGACGCGAAAGCGUGGGGAGCGAACAGG
rnacentral:rRNA from 1 species